rnacentral:rRNA from 1 species
GAUGAACGCUGGCGGCGUGCCUAAUACAUGCAAGUCGAGUGAACAGAUGAGGAGCUUGCUCCUCUGACGUUAGCGGCGGACGGGUGAGUAACACGUGGAUAACCUACCUAUAAGACUGGGAUAACUUCGGGAAACCGGAGCUAAUACCGGAUAAUAUAUUGAACCGCAUGGUUCAAUAGUGAAAGACGGUUUUGCUGUCACUUAUAGAUGGAUCCGCGCCGCAUUAGCUAGUUGGUAAGGUAACGGCUUACCAAGGCAACGAUGCGUAGCCGACCUGAGAGGGUGAUCGGCAACACUGGAACUGAGACACGGUCCAGACUCCUACGGGAGGCAGCAGUAGGGAAUCUUCCGCAAUGGGCGAAAGCCUGACGGAGCAACGCCGCGUGAGUGAUGAAGGUCUUCGGAUCGUAAAACUCUGUUAUUAGGGAAGAACAAAUGUGUAAGUAACUAUGCACGUCUUGACGGUACCUAAUCAGAAAGCCACGGCUAACUACGUG